rnacentral:rRNA from 1 species
AUUGAACGCUGGCGGCAUGCCUUACACAUGCAAGUCGAACGGCAGCACGGGAGCAAUCCUGGUGGCGAGUGGCGAACGGGUGAGUAAUAUAUCGGAACGUGCCCGGUCGUGGGGGAUAACGUAGCGAAAGCUACGCUAAUACCGCAUACGAUCUACGGAUGAAAGCGGGGGAUCGCAAGACCUCGCGCGAUUGGAGCGGCCGAUAUCAGAUUAGGUAGUUGGUGAGGUAAAGGCUCACCAAGCCGACGAUCUGUAGCUGGUCUGAGAGGACGACCAGCCACACUGGGACUGAGACACGGCCCAGACUCCUACGGGAGGCAGCAGUGGGGAAUUUUGGACAAUGGGCGCAAGCCUGAUCCAGCAAUGCCGCGUGCAGGAUGAAGGCCUCGGUGUAACUGCUUGUCGACGAACGUGAGCUCUAAUACAGUUGCUAAUGACGGUACCGUAACG